rnacentral:rRNA from 1 species
GAACUUAAGCAUAUCAAUAAGCGGAGGAAAAGAAACUAACAAGGAUUCCCCUAGUAACUGCGAGUGAAGCGGGAAGAGCUCAAAUUUAAAAUCUGACGUGCCUCUGGUCGUCCGAGUUGUAGUCUGGAGAAGCGUUUUCCGUGUUGGACCGUGUAUAAGUCUCUUGGAACAGGGCGUCAUAGAGGGUGAGAAUCCCGUCUUUGACACGGACUACCAAUGCUUUGUGAUGCGCUCUCAAAGAGUCGAGUUGUUUGGGAAUGCAGCUCAAAAUGGGUGGUAAAUUCCAUCUAAAGCUAAAUAUAGGCGAGAGACCGAUAGCGAACAAGUACCGUGAGGGAAAGAUGAAAAGCACUUUGGAAAGAGAGUUAAACAGUACGUGAAAUUGCUGAAAGGGAAACGCUUGAAGUCAGUCAUGUCUGCCAGGACUCAGCCUUGCUUCUGCUUGGUGUACUUUCUGGUCGGAUGGGCCAACAUCAAUUUUGACCGUUGGAGAAAGGCUUUGGGAAUGUGGCACCUUCGGGUGUGUUAUAGCCCUUUGUUGUAUACGACGGUUGGGAUUGAGGACUGCAGCACGCCUUUAUGGCCGGGGUAUUUGCCUACGUACGUGCUUAGGAUGUUGGCAUAAUGGCUUUAAGCGACCCGUCUUGAAACACGGACCAAGGAGUCUAACAUGCCUGCGAGUGUUUGGGUGGAAAACCCAUGCGCGUAAUGAAAGUGACAGCUGAGAUCCUCUCAUCAGGAGCACCAGCGCCUGGACUUGAUCUACGGAGACGGUUCUACGGUAGAGCAUGUAUGUUGGGACCCGAAA